UACGGAGGGGGCGAGCGUUAUCCGGAAUUACUGGGCGUAAAGCGCACGCAGGCGGUUCGCCAAGUUUGGAGUGACAGUUGUCGGCUCAACCGACAAAGGACUUCAAAAACUGGUGAACUUGAGGACGAGAGAGGAACAUGGAACUCCAGGUGUAGUAGUGAAAUGCGUAGAUAUCUGGAAGAACACCAAUGGCGAAGGCAAUGUUCUGGCUCGUUUCUGACGCUCAGGUGCGAAAGCCAGGGGAGCGAACGGG
rnacentral:rRNA from 1 species